AUUGAACGCUGGCGGCAUGCCUAACACAUGCAAGUCGAACGAGUGGCGGACGGGUGCGUAAUGUCUGGGAAACUGCCCGAUGGAGGGGGAUAACUACUGGAAACGGUAGCUAAUACCGCAUACCAUCGGAUGUGCCCAGAUGGGAUUAGCUAGUAGGUGGGGUAACGGCUCACCAGGGCAACGAUCCCUAGCUGGUGUGAGAGGAUGACCAGCCACACUGGAACGGUGAAACGGUCCAGAGUCCUACGGGAGGCAGCAGUGGGGAAUAUUGCACAAUGGGCGCAAGCUUGAUGCAGCCAUGCCGCGUGUAUGAAGAAGGCCUUCGGGUUGUAAAGUACUUGCAGCGAGGAGGCGUUACUCGCAGAAGAAGCACCGGCUAACUCCGUGCCAGCAGCCGCGGUAAUUC
rnacentral:rRNA from 1 species